rnacentral:piRNA from 1 species
UGUGAGCUGCCUGAUGUGGGUUGUUGG